rnacentral:rRNA from 1 species
CGGGUGCACUGAUCCAGCCGGGCCUUUCCCUCUGUGGAACCCCAUGGCCUUCACUGGCUGUGGUGGGGAAACAGGACUUUUACUUUGAAAAAAUUAGAGUGCUCCAGGCAGGCCUAUGCUCGAAUACAUUAGCAUGGAAUAAUAGAAUAGGACGUGUGGUUCUAUUUUGUUGGUUUCUAGGACCGCCGUAAUGAUUAAUAGGGACAGUCGGGGGCAUCAGUAUUCAAUUGUCAGAGGUGAAAUUCUUGGAUCUAUUGAAGACUAACUACUGCGAAAGCAUUUGCCAAGGAUGUUUUCAUUGAUAAGGAACGAAAGUUAGGGGAUCGAAGACGAUCAGAUACCGUCGUAGUCUUAACUAUAAACUAUGCCGACUAGGGAUCGGACGAUGUUAUUCUUUGACGCGUUCGGCACCUUUCGAGAAAUCAAAGUGCUUGGGCUCCAGGGGGAGUAUGGUCGCAAGGCUGAAACUUAAAGAAAUUGACGGAAGGGCACCACCAGGGGUGGAACCUGCGGCUUAAUUUGACUCAACACAGGGAAACUCACCAGGUCCAGACACAGUGAGGAUUGACAGAUUGAGAGCUCUUUCUUGAUUCUGUGGGUGGUGGUGCAUGGCCGUUUUUAGUUGGUGGAGUGAUUUGUCUGCUUAAUUGCGAUAACGAACGAGACCUUAACCUGCUAAAUAGCCCGUACUGCUUUGGCAGUUCGCCGGCUUCUUAGAGGGACUAUCGG